rnacentral:lncRNA from 1 species
GAUGGCAUAACUGGACCUGCCAGGCCAGUUGUUUGUUCGCCUACGUCAGACAACGCACCCGCCGUUUGAGGUUCUUCUUGCUGAGGCUCUUCAGUCUGUAGUGCUUCCUGUAUUGAUUGAGGAGAUGUUCCUUGCUGUGCUUGGACUCCUGGAGGAGAAGGGGAAGAUUCCACCGGGAUUGGAAACACCGGAGGAGGAGG